rnacentral:rRNA from 1 species
GUGGGGAAUCUUCCGCAAUGGACGAAAGUCUGACGGAGCAACGCCGCGUGAGUGAUGACGGCCUUCGGGUUGUAAAGCUCUGUGAUCGGGGACGAAUGGCUGGUGUGCUAAUACCACAUCAGAGUGACGGUACCCGAAUAGCAAGCCACGGCUAACUACGUGCCAGCAGCCGCGGUAAUACGUAGGUGGCAAGCGUUGUCCGGAAUUAUUGGGCGUAAAGCGCGCGCAGGCGGCUUCUUAAGUCCAUCUUAAAAGUGCGGGGCUUAACCCCGUGAUGGGAUGGAAACUGGGAGGCUGGAGUAUCGGAGAGGAAAGUGGAAUUCCUAGUGUAGCGGUGAAAUGCGUAGAGAUUAGGAAGAACACCGGUGGCGAAGGCGACUUUCUGGACGACAACUGACGCUGAGGCGCGAAAGCGUGGGGAGCAAACAGGAUUAGAUACCCCUGUGUCC